CCCAGACUCCUACGGGAGGCAGCAGUGGGGAAUAUUGCACAAUGGGGGAAACCCUGAUGCAGCGAUGCCGCGUGGAGGAAGAAGGUUUUCGGAUUGUAAACUCCUUUUAUCAGGGACGAUAAUGACGGUACCUGAAGAAAAAGCUCCGGCUAACUACGUGCCAGCAGCCGCGGUAAUACGUAGGGAGCAAGCGUUGUCCGGAAUUACUGGGUGUAAAGGGAGCGUAGGCGGGAGGAUAAGUUGAAUGUGAAAUCUAUGGGCUCAACCCAUAGCUGCGUUCAAAACUGUUCUUCUUGAGUGAAGUAGAGGCAGGCGGAAUUCCUAGUGUAGCGGUGAAAUGCGUAGAUAUUAGGAGGAACACCAGUGGCGAAGGCGGCCUGCUGGGCUUUUACUGACGCUGAGGCUCGAAAGCGUGGGUAGCAAACAGGAUUAGAUACCCGUGUA
rnacentral:rRNA from 1 species